UGGGGGAUUUUGGACAAUGGGGGCAAGCCUGAUCCAGCCAUGCCGCGUGAGUGAAGAAGGCCUUCGGGUUGUAAAGCGCUUUCGGCGGGGAAGAAGCGUCUAUGUCGUUCCCGGGGGCCGUGACGAUACCCGAAAAAAAGGACGGGCUAACUCUGU
rnacentral:rRNA from 1 species